CGAUGUGUUAUGUGGUUGAAGACAAGUAAAAAUAAAGAAUGUGAGUGAGAUAAGUGAGAAUUACUAGAGAGAGCGACACCGAAUAAAGCGACACCGGAUAGAGCGAUACUGGAAAGAGCGACACUGGAGAUAGCAAUACCGGAGAAAGCGACACCGGAGAAAGCGAUACCAGAGAAAGCGAUACCGGAGAGAGCGACACUGGAGAGAGCGAUACCUUAAAGAGCGAUACCGAUGAGAGCGAAUCCAGCGAGAUUUAAACAUAAUGUUGUUUUACAAUUUUUUUUUUCUGAAGAAGUUUACUGAUUGAAUCUUUAUUUCAUGCAGGAAUGAUUUAAGAUGGCAACACGUUUUAGAAUACCCGUAGCCGACCGAUUUCCCGAUCAAGUAACAAGCUUGGCUCAUAUUGCUAAUGCAAACAAGAUUGUGAAGGAGAAGCUUACGCCAAGGCAGUUAGACAUGUUCAAGAGAACAGUUUUUGGGCGAUUUGUAGACGUUGACAUGGUGUUUAACAACCCAAUUAUCCAUCACAUAUUGCUGAGAGAAGUGAAGAGGACGAGGUCAGACUAGAUGUCAUUCUCUAUUUGUGGAAAGGUUGUCACUAUUUCGAAUGAUGUUUUUUUGUCGAUGACUGGUUUGUGGCAACUGGCAAUACCCAACACGAGUUGAUCAGAAUCAACAUUCCUCGUAUGAACUUACAAUCAAGUAUUUUGGUAAUCGAGUGACAAAGGACACCUUACAUCUCCAUCAACUUGAAGAAAAAUACAAGGAGUUGGAGUUUGAAAAUGAUGAGGAUGCUGUGAAUAUUACAGUAGUCUACUAUACUGAGGUUGCAAUGAUGGGGAAAAAACAAACAAAAAAAUGCAGUGGACCUCAGACAUUUUAAGGAUGUUCAAAACUUGGAAUAUUACAACAGUCUUGAUUGGGAUACCAUUAUUUAGGAGAGUACACUGGAUACCCUAAAGACUGCAUUGAAUGAUAAGAGCAGUCUGUACAAGAUGAAUGUCAAAGGAAAUAAAAAUUAUGUUGUGAAGUACUCUUUACGUGGACUUCCACAAGCGUUCCAGGUAUGGACGUACGAGAUCCUAGCUGCAUCAAUAGCUGGGAACAUUGCAGAGCGAAGGAGCAAGGUGGCUUUGUCCUGCAUAUUCCGAUGGUCAUGCUCCCACUCAGUGUCCUUCAAAGUACUCGAGAGAGAGAUAUUUGAGUCUAACAAUAUUCUAAAAGGGAGUUUCGGGAUACCCCAGUAGACAGACGACCUAUAUUUCAUCUAGGUGCGGAUGAUGAUAGUUCUGAAAGUGGCAAUAGGUCGACUAGUGAUGAGGGUAGUUCUGAAAGUGAAAGUGACGGUGAUAAUCAUCGUGUAGAUGACAAUUAUGAAGUUGUCAGGGUGAAGGGAGAGAAUGAACCUGAGCAUUCUGAGCACGAGGAUGCUGAAUAUGGAAGGGUGGAAGGAGGGACAUACACACCUAGUGAUGAUAUGUUCUAUGAUGUGAUGGGGGACGUACGCGAUGAGAACGAGUUGAACCAACUUGAUGUCUAUCUUGCAGGCUCCUGCAGAGAGCGAUCUGUGGAUGAGAAGUGUCCUGAAUGUGUUGUCCGCCGCAGGGAGGGAGCCAAUCCCGACGAUUCUAUUUAUUCGUUCCUACGGACCAUUGACAGCUCAUUAUCGAGGUUGGAUGGCCAUAUAUCGGAUUUAAAUAGUCGUUAUUCAAUAUGGAGGAAAACAUGACGGACUGAAAGAGCAAUUGUCGAUCGUCCUGUCACUGUUGCAGUCUAUGUGCAAGGGUUCCACGGUGAAUGAGGAGAUGACAAGGUCACCCAUCCCAUCUCGGGAUCCCGAUACCAAUAAUGUGACUGCCUCCGACACUCUCAUCCCCCUCUACAGUCCGAUAUCACCACAACAUCACCAACUAACAUCGAACCUAUAGAGACCGACAUCCCACAAACAGAGCUCGACAUGUCUGCCUUACUCACCAUGCCAUAUAUAGAGGCUGACAUGUCUGGCAUCCCAUAGGCCGACACUUCUGGGAUUGUUACGACCACAUAAGGAGUUACACUAGAAUCUCAAAGAAUUAGUCGUAAGAGGAAACCUAUUGAUAAAUAUACACCUCUGGCUCAAGUAAAGAAGAAAAGUUUGGUUAAGCAUCCUCUCCCAAGUGUAGCUACGUCACUAUCCAGAGCGAUCGUCACAUGCAAAGUAGCACAUGAUGUUCCACACAAUAUCCUUACAGAAAUGAUGGGCUGGCUCUCGGACGAGAAUAUCGACAACGAGGUUCGAGAGAACUUCUUUAAACCACUCGUCAAGCAAUUCUUCAAGGAAUUGAUUUCCCCGAGUUCGUGGGUCGAGUGCGAUGUAAGUUUCCUAGUCUUAACUUCUUUACAUGUUAGCUAUCUUGUAUUUUUACU